rnacentral:tRNA from 1 species
GCGUAUGCCCAGGUCAGCAUUUCCCAAGCUCAGACCGCGUGAUCUUGAAAGAGUCAAGCUGACAACGCGGGUUCGAUUCCCGUCACCCGCUCCA